GAACUGCGAUAAGUAAUGUGAAUUGCAGAAUUCAGUGAAUCAUCGAGUCUUUGAACGCACAUUGCGCCCCCUGGCAUUCCGGGGGGCAUGCCUGUCCGAGCGUCAUUGCUGCCCUUCAAGCCCGGCUUGUGUGUUGGGUCGUCGUCCCCCUCGGGGGACGGGCCCGAAAGGCAGCGGCGGCACCGUGUCCGGUCCUCGAGCGUAUGGGGCUUUGUCACCCGCUCGAUUAGGGCCGGCCGGGCGCCAGCCGGCGUCUCCAACCUUAUUUUUCUCAGGUUGACCUCGGAUCAGGUAGGGAUACCCGCUGAACUUAAGC
rnacentral:misc_RNA from 1 species